rnacentral:rRNA from 2 species
GGAUGCGAUCAUACCAGCAGUAAAGCACCGGAUCCCAUCAGAACUCCGAAGUUAAGCGUGCUUGCGCGAGACUAGUACUAGGAUGGGUUCCCUCCUGGGAAGUCCUCGUGUUGCAUUAC